rnacentral:rRNA from 1 species
AGGCCCCUACGGGGGGCAGCAGUCGUUCCUAUUUCUCAAUUUCUGAAACUCUGACGCAGUGACGCCGCGUAUAGGAAGAAGGUUUUCGGAUUGUAAACUAUUGUCGUUAGGGAAGAUAAAAGACUGUACCUAAGGAGGAAGCCCCGGCUAACUAUGUGCCAGCAGCCGCGGUAAUACAUAGGGGGCAAGCGUUAUCCGGAAUUAUUGGGUGUAAAGGGUGCGUAGACGGAAGAACAAGUUGGUUGUGAAAUCCCUCGGCUCAACUGAGGAACUGCAACCAAAACUAUUCUCCUUGAGUGUCGGAG